UGGAUACCGAUAUUAAACAGAUAUUAGUUUUAAAUAUAACAAAAAAUUAUGUGGUGUAAAGUAUAUUCAUAAGUGGUAUAUAUAUUUUUUAGGACAAUCAUGCUAUACCUAAGGCUUUUGUUUUUACAAGGAAAAAGCCAUAGUCUUGUAUUUUUUGUUGUCAUCUAUGUGGUUCUUUUUUUGAGAAUAGGUAGUACGCUAUCUGGUUCAUUCAGUGAAUGGAUGAAUUUGGCUACAGAGGUGAGGCGCCUCGAGGAAAAAACAACAUUAGAAAGGGUAAAAAAAAAAAAGAAAAAAAAA
rnacentral:lncRNA from 1 species